rnacentral:rRNA from 1 species
GAACGGGUGAGUAACACGUGGGUGAUCUGCCCUGCACUUUGGGAUAAGCCUGGGAAACUGGGUCUAAUACCGAAUAGGACCACGCGCUUCAUGGUGUGUGGUGGAAAGCUUUUGCGGUGUGGGACGGGCCCGCGGCCUAUCAGCUUGUUGGUGGGGUAAUGGCCUACCAAGGCGACGACGGGUAGCCGGCCUGAGAGGGUGACCGGCCACACUGGGACUGAGAUACGGCCCAGACUCCUACGGGAGGCAGCAGUGGGGAAUAUUGCACAAUGGGCGCAAGCCUGAUGCAGCGACGCCGCGUGAGGGAUGACGGCCUUCGGGUUGUAAACCUCUUUCAAUAGGGACGAAGCGCAAGUGACGGUACCUAUAGAAGAAGCACCGGCCAACUACGUGCCAGCAGCCGCGGUAAUACGUAGGGCGCGAGCGUUGUCCGGAAUUACUGGGCGUAAAGAGCUCGUAGGUGGUUUGUCGCGUUGUUCGUGAAAACUCACAGCUUAACUGUGGGCGUGCGGGCGAUACGGGCAGACUAGAGUACUGCAGGGGAGACUGGAAUUCCUGGUGUAGCGGUGGAAUGCGCAGAUAUCAGGAGGAACACCGGUGGCGAAGGCGGGUCUCUGGGCAGUAACUGACGCUGAGGAGCGAAAGCGUGGGGAGCGAACAGGAUUAGAUACCCUGGUAGUCCACGCCGUANACGGUGGGUACUAGGUGUGGGUUCCUUCCUUGGGAUCCGUGCCGUAGCUAACGCAUUAAGUACCCCGCCUGGGGNNUACGGCCGCAAGGCUAAAAC